UACGGGAGGCAGCAGUGGGGAAUAUUGCACAAUGGGCGAAAGCCUGAUGCAGCUAUGCCGCGUGUAUGAAGAAGGCCUUAGGGUUGUAAAGUACUUUCAUCGGGGAGGAAAAACAAAACUAAUAAUUUUAUUUCUUGACGUUACCCGAAAAAGAAGCACCGGCUAACUCCGUGCCAGCAGCCGCGGUAAUACGGAGGGUGCUAGCGUUAAUCAGAAUUACUGGGCGUAAAGAGCACGUAGGUGGUUUUUUUAAGUCAGAUGUGAAAUCCCUGGGCUUAACCUAGGAACUGCAUUUUGAAACUAAAAUACUAGAGUAUCGUAGAGGGAGGUAGAAUUCUAGGUGUAGCGGUGAAAUGCGUAGAUAUCUGGAGGAAUACCUGUGGCGAAAGCGGCCUCCUAAACGAAUACUGACACUGAGGGUGCGAAAGCGUGGGGAGCAAACAGGGAUUAGAUACC
rnacentral:rRNA from 1 species